rnacentral:rRNA from 1 species
GACGAACGCUGGCGGCGUGCUUAACCCAUGCAAGUCGAACGAAGUGGCGAACGGGUGAGUAACGCGUAAUCAACCUGCCCUUCAGAGGGGGACACCAGUUGGAAACGACGGCUAAUACCGCAUACUGAAGGAGGGGAUUGCGUCUGAUUAGCUAGUGGGAGGGGUAAAGGCCAACCAAGGCGAUGAUCAGUAGCCGGUCUGAGAGGAGGAACUGCAAAAUUGGGACUGAGACACGGCCCCGACUCCUUCGGGAGGCAGCAGUGGGGAAUCUUCCGAAAUGGACGAAAGUCUGACGGAGCAACGCCGCGUGAGUGAUGAAGGCCUUCGGGUUGUAAAGCUCUGUUAAGCGGGACGCGGUACCGGAAUAGAAAGCCACGGCUAACUACGUGCCAGCAGCCGCGGUAAUAC